AGUACGGCGAGUGAAGCGGCAACAGCUCAAAUUUGAAAUCUGGCCCUUACGGGUCCGAGUUGUAAUUUGUAGAGGAUGCUUUUGGCAAGGCGCCGCCCGAGUUCCCUGGAACGGGACGCCACAGAGGGUGAGAGCCCCGUCUGGCUGGCCGCCGAGCCUCUGUAAAGCCCCUUCGACGAGUCGAGUAGUUUGGGAAUGCUGCUCAAAAUGGGAGGUAUAUGUCUUCUAAAGCUAAAUAUUGGCCAGAGACCGAUAGCGCACAAGUAGAGUGAUCGAAAGAUGAAAAGCACCUUGAAAAGAGGGUUAAAUAGUACGUGAAAUUGUUGAAAGGGAAGCGCUUGUGACCAGACUUGGGCGCGGCGGAUCAUCCGGGGUUCUCCCCGGUGCACUUCGCCGCGUCCAGGCCAGCAUCAGUUCGUCGCGGGGGAAAAAGGCUUCGGGAACGUGGCUCCCUCGGGAGUGUUAUAGCCCGUUGCGUAAUACCCUGCGGUGGACUGAGGACCGCGCAUCUGCAAGGAUGCUGGCGUAAUGGUCACCAGCGACCCGUCUUGA
rnacentral:rRNA from 1 species